CAGCUCUGGAAGGGUCUAGAGCCUCCAUUUUUGCACUCAGGUUUAUGUCUCCUGGCCCUCUAUCAGAAUCCAGAGUUUUGAGAAGAUUGGAGAAACUUAAUUUUUCGCCC